ACGCUCGACACCUACGGGAGCAGCAGUGGGGGAUAUUGCACAAUGGGGGAAACCCUGAUGCAGCGACGCCGCGUGGAGGAAGAAGGUUUUCGGAUUGUAAACUCCUGUCGUACGGGACGAUAAUGACGGUACCGUACAAGAAAGCCACGGCUAACUACGUGCCAGCACGCCGACGGUAAUCUGAGGCGGGCGUGGACGAAGGC
rnacentral:rRNA from 1 species